GACGGGGCGCUCGCCCCACAGGCGCCAGGCGCUCCGGCCGCAAGGGAGCAGGGAGCCCUGCCAGCUGGGCCACCCGAGGGGCGUUGCGGGGCUCCGGGCGGGGUCGACCCGGGGGGCUCCGUCGGGCCCCACCAGCCUUGCGCCUUUUUCGCUCGGUCUCCUUGGCCUCCCGCUCCUGCGACGCCGCUUUCCUUUUCUCUUGCUCCCGAGCUCGGACCUCGGCCAGGGGCCCCGCCCGCCAGUUGGUCGCCUCCUGCAGCACCCUGGAGGCCCAGGGCCGGCGGGGCGGCGGCUGUGGGGAUCCCGGGCGCGGCCCACACCUGGGACAAUGAGCAGGAACCCAGGGAAUGUGACUUCACUGGACGCAGUAUAAAGAUCUUCAGAUGUCCUCCUGCCGGGGAUUGCAGGGAUCACAGAAAGACCAUCGAGGUCCAGGAGCUACCUGCAAGCGGAGAUCCCUCUGGACGCCCCGUGCCUCACCCAGCAAAGCCGGCUCACAACCCUGCGCUCUCAAACCUCUAAAAGGGCUUGAGGUGCCAAUAGGAAAGGAGGCCCGAGAUUGCCACGGCAUACGUGGGCCCCAAGGAGGGAGCCAGGAGUCACUGCCUGCUUGGGCUAAGGGUACCGCGUACGGAAAGGCGGCGGGGACGCGGCCCAGUUCCAGGAGAUGCGCCCAACGAAGAAGCGGAGGAACAGGGUCACGGGAUAGGGCAGACACCCGGCUGCUUUUUGUUUGCUAGACACCAGCGCCAGCCCCUGCCCGGCCCUCCCGGUCUCCUAAGGGUUGGGGGGGUGUCUUAGGCUCCACAGCGCCCCCGACCGCCCUCCUGCACUCCUCACCGUCUCCAUUGCAAGAGGCGCCCGGCUUGGUUUCCUCGCUUUAGGAAACUCUCUUGGGGCAGGCCCCGCCCCACAUCCGGUGCGGCGACGCCACUUCCGCCCACGUCAUGGCAGUCGCCAGACUGGGGCGGAAGGCAAGGAACCCACCCUUCCGGCGGUGGCGGGCCUCGGUAACCGCCCUCCCCCGGGUCCUCGCGGACCGCACGGAUCCGGCUGACGGCGAGGGUCAUGGGACGGAGCCGCUUGUAUUUAAAAUGUUCUUUUUUUAUUUGUCGUUUAAAAACAAACUUGGAAGAAGCAAAAUCCAAAACUUGCCCUUUGCCUCUCGCAACAUAAAUAUGUACAGUUCAGAAUGAUCGCUGAUACAAAACAUGCCAAGGACAGGGGCGCUGAGGGUGGAGGGAGAGAGGGCGCUUUAAAAAAGGGAACCAUUUCAUCCGUUGUUACGAAGGACCAACCUUGCUGUACAGGAUACACACAACACAAAAUAAAGUCUUCACGGGAUUCAC
rnacentral:lncRNA from 1 species